rnacentral:rRNA from 1 species
AUGUGCAGAGAAAGGCACGGUGCAAUGCUUGACGAGAGGGCAGCCAGUGCAGAGAGAAUCACUGCCCUAGAGAGUGCAUUCCGUGGUUUUGCAGAAAGGAAAACUGAAGAAGUAGUAGCACCUGGGAUUGGCUUGACGUUUGAUUCACUCGGAGAAGCAUAUGAUGUUUACAACCUUUACUCCUGGGAGUCUAGGUUUUGUAUAAGGUAUGGCAAAAGCAGAAAAAACGUGAAGGGAGCAAGGUCCAUGCAAGAACUGAUGUGCAAUUGUGGCGUGAGUACCCCAAUCGUCCUUUAUUAA